rnacentral:misc_RNA from 1 species
UACGUAGGUGGCAAGCGUUAUCCGGAUUUACUGGGUGUAAAGGGUGCGCAGGCGGGCAUGCAAGUUGGAUGUGAAAUGUCGGGGCUCAACCCCGGAACUGCAUCCAAAACUGCAAGUCUUGAGUGAAGUAGAGGUAAGCGGAAUUCCGAGUGUAGCGGUGAAAUGCGUAGAUAUUCGGAGGAACACCAGUGGCGAAGGCGGCUUACUGGGCUUUAACUGACGCUGAGGCACGAAAGUGUGGGGAGCAAACAGG